AUUGAACGCUGGCGGCAGGCCUAACACAUGCAAGUCGAACGAGUGGCGGACGGGUGAGUAAUGCCUGGGAAACUGCCCGAUGGCGGUGGAUAACUCCUGGAAACGGUAGCUAAUACCUCAUAUCAUCAGAUGUGCCCAGAUGGGAUUAGCUUGUUUGUGGGGUAACGGCUCAGCAAGGCGACGAUCCCUAGCUGGUCGGAGAGGAUGACCAGCCACACUGGAACUGAGACACUGUCCAGACUCCUACGGGAGGCAGCAGGGGGGAAUAGUGCACAAUGGUCGCAAGCCUGAUGCAGCCAUGCCGCGUGUAUGAAGAAGGCCUGCGGGUUGUAAAGUACUUUCAGCGGGGAGGCGUUACCCGCAGAAGAAGCACCGGCUAACUCCGUGCCAGCAGCCGCGGUAAUUC
rnacentral:rRNA from 1 species